rnacentral:rRNA from 3 species
UGGGGGAUAUUGCACAAUGGGCGAAAGCCUGAUGCAGCAAUGCCGCGUGAGGGAAGAAGGUUUUCGGAUUGUAAACCUCUGUCCCUGAUGACGAAGACAGUGACGGUAAUCAGGGAGGAAGCCACGGCUAACUACGUGCCAGCAGCCGCGGUAAUACGUAGGUGGCAAGCGUUGUCCGGAAUUACUGGGUGUAAAGGGAGCGCAGGCGGGAAGGCAAGUCAGCGGUGAAAACUAUGGGCUCAACCCAUAGACUGCCGUUGAAACUGUUUUUCUUGAGUGAAGUAGAGGCAGGCGGAAUUCCGAGUGUAGCGGUGAAAUGCGUAGAUAUUCGGAGGAACACCAGUGGCGAAGGCGGCCUGCUGGGCUUUUACUGACGCUGAGGCUCGAAAGUGUGGGGAGCAAACAGG